GUCUCACCAGGCCCCCAGAGCUGCUGGCACUGCUGCUCCAGUGUAGGACAUGCGCCAUCCCAGCAGUAGCCCCGGCCGCCGGCACAGGGCGAGCCGUCCAGGAGGCAGCGAGCGCAGCAGUCCCCGUGGGUGCACUGGGCCCCCGCGCGCAGCGAGCAGUUGUGGGCGAAGCAGCAGGCGUCCGUGCACUCCUGGAGCCGAAAAGGGGAUGUGGGGACCGGUCGACCCCGGGCGCAGUCACACUGCCUAAGAGACCAGCGGCCCGGAGCCUCUAAAAGCCGGGCCCAAAGAGGGCAAGGAACCUGCACAAGGUCACGCUGUGAGCCCGAGGCUGGAAGGCGUCACACCAGGACCAGGCAGCCCAGGACUCGAGGUCGGAUCGCGACCUAGAGCUGUUCCUCCCGGGGUUGGAGAAUCCUUGCUAGAAUGUUCUGAAAAUAAUCUUCAUAUUUUUGACAAUCCA